UACGUAGGCAGCGAGCGUUGUUCGGAGUUACUGGGCGUAAAGCGUGCGUAGGCGGUGUUCCAAGUCUGUUGUGAAAUCUCCCGGCUUAACUGGGAGGUGCGGCGGAAACUGGAACGCUGGAGUAUGGGAGAGGUAAGCGGAAUUCCUGGUGUAGCGGUGAAAUGCGUAGAUAUCAGGAGGAACACCUGCGGUGUAGACGGCUUACUGGACCAUCACUGACGCUGAGGCACGAAAGCGUGGGUAGCAAACAGG
rnacentral:rRNA from 1 species